rnacentral:rRNA from 1 species
GGUAAACGCUGGCGGCGUGCCUAAAACAUGCAAGUCGAACGCGUACCUUCGGGUACGAGUGGCAGACGGCUGAGUAACGCGUGGGUGACAUACCCAUUGGUGGGGAAUAACUGCCCGAAAGGGUGGCUAAUUCCGCAUACGUCCUGCUUUUCGUUGAGCAGGGGAAAGCAGCAAUGCGCCGAUGGACUGGCCCGCGUUCGAUUAGCUGGUUGGUGGGGUAACGGCCUACCAAGGCGACGAUCGAUAGCUGGUCUCAGAGGAUGAUCAGCCAGACUGGGACUGAGACACGGCCCAGACUCCUACGGGAGGCAGCAGUUAGGAAUUUUGGGCAAUGGGCGCAAGCCUGACCCAGCAACGCCGCGUGGGUGACGAAGGCCUUCGGGUUGUAAAGCCCUUUUCUGAGGGAAGAUGAUGACGGUACCUCAGGAAGAAGCACCGGCUAACUACGUGCCAGCCGCCGCAGUAACAC